CCCACACACCGUUUACUAGGAUCCAGAUAUUCCAAACUAUUGGUCUGUCCAAACCCUGGCACUCUGACAUCCACUCCCGGAGGAGCUUUACCAACUUUUUCAAUGCCGUUGCAGCCAGAAGUAUUUUGUCUAUUCAUUUUCUCAUAGAGAUUUCUU